rnacentral:rRNA from 1 species
UACGUAGGGCGCGAGCGUUGUCCGGAAUUAUUGGGCGUAAAGAGCUCGUAGGCGGUUUGUCGCGUCGGUUGUGAAAACCCAAGGCUCAACCUUGGGCCUGCAAUCGAUACGGGCAGACUAGAGUACUGCAGGGGAGACUGGAAUUCCUGGUGUAGCGGUGGAAUGCGCAGAUAUCAGGAGGAACACCGAUGGCGAAGGCAGAUCUCUGGGCCGUAACUGACGCUGAGGAGCGAAAGCGUGGGGAGCGAAAAGG